ensembl:lncRNA
CAAAUUGCUUAGUUUAAUCGAAUUACGUUUUAAAUAUUGAUUAAAAUUGAUUAUUGCAUUGUAUUUCUCAUUGAAAUUGAUCAUUCUCUCUGUAAUCAGAAAUUGUUUCUAUGUAAUGAAAAACAAUUGAAUAAUUGAAAAUUAUUUGUUUGUUUUCCCUUCCUCUUUUUCUUUCCCAUAUCUUUUCUUACUCAUCUAUCCUGUCCAUUUUCCUAUCUUUGUUUUUCUGGGAUGUGCUACCAACUCGGACGAGUCCUGAAGACGUUGGAACAGCACCAAGAAGAAGUGCUCCUGACAAUGAUCGUGAGUCACAGGGUGGUGUUAGGGUCGGUCUGAAGAUUGCCUGAUCUGCCUCACAAUCAUCGUCAGAGACUGAGACCCUGAGACCCUUUAGACCCCUGGACCCCACCUCUCACUCCGGGCAGGAGCCACCGAGUCUGGCCAAGGCGGAUGCUCUAAUGGACUGUGUCAGGUGUGUGCUGAACUGUCACGGUGCACUGCGCUCUAGCAGGUGCAGGCUGAACCGUACUUUCUGCAGCUGAGCAACAGUCCUCACACACAAUAGUCCAUAAAUCUUCCCACCUUUUGGCGCCUCGCCUGGAAAUGGACUAUAAAAUUAUCACUCUCAGAAGAGACCUUGGAGACUUCUUUCUCCCUACUGAUGGAAGACAUCGCCGGAUGAUCCGAGGACGUCCCAUCUGUUGGUAGCUAUUCCCCCUGUUCUCUCUCUGUCUCUCUGUCUCUCUCUCUCUCUCUCUCUUCGUCAUCCUUUUAUCUCUCUCCUUCUCACCAUUACCCCGAAAUCUGUAUUGUUUGCCCUCAAUAAAUUGCUUUGCUGCUUGUUGCUGAACAAAACCUUAGUCUCUUGCUGUGGUCUUUUACACCCUGUGGUCAAACGAACCAUCACGACCCCUGCUCAGAUUGUGCGGACCGUGACACAGAGGCAGGGGGAGAGCCCAGUCCCGGGGGCGGCGUUUCUGCCCCGACCCCCGUCCAGCCCAGCCUCCCCCGAGUGCGCAGUGACCGCUGGCACGGCUGCACUGGACAGUGGGACCUGCUGGGGACACUGAGAGCUGCCCCACUGUGACACUGCCCGUGGGAUUUCACAGGCACCAAACAAAUGACAGCCAGCCCCGCUCCUUGGGAUGUCUCAGGCCCCAGGAGUGUCCCAAGUGUGGGGGAGCAUCUCACAGACCUCUUAUUUGACCAGAUACCAACGGAGGCACCACUGAGGGAAGCCCUGCGAGUGCCCCGAGUGCAGGAAGAGCUUUGUGCCUCUCUUAGGCUGCAAUGCCAGAUGUAACCAGAAGUAUAUAUUCUAUCCCCAUCUGCUAAAACCAGGUGGAGCAGUGUUCCUUAUCCCUUCCAUGACCCAUCCCUCAUAACUCCAGGGGGGAUAUCCUCUGUGAAUAGGCCAACUGUUAAAGCCAGGAGGGGCAGUUUUCUUUAUCUCUUCCAGGACCCAUCCUUUGUCCAGGAAGAUAUUUUCUGUUAAUAAGCCAUAAAGUCUUACUGCACGACUGAUCCUGUGAAAGGGAACAAUACACAAUAAAGCCGCUGCUGGCACCGAGGUGUGACCAUGGCCCGCUGUGACCUCAUCUCAUGCGCUGGCCCUGGGUGAGAUGAUGCUGAAACUGGGCACUCCUGAGGAGGAGACAAGAAGGGGUGGUCCUGGGGUGGAGAGCGAGGAUGACGUGAUGCACACCGUUUUCAUGCAGGGGAUGCCUUGAAGGUGUGCUGCCCUCCUGCCCCUCCUGCUCGGGUGCCAUACCCUAUCUCCUUCUCCUGCUCAGCGGCUUCUCCAACAUCCAGGGGUUGGUAUGGAUUUAUUGCUAACAUGACUAAUAAAAUUGACUUGCUUUGCUACUCUGUGUCUUGAGAUUUUUGUGCACAGGCAUCCUCCUGA